ACAGCUAGUCAGCUGGUAUUUAAACCCAGGCAUUCUUGCUCUAGAAUUUUACUGUUAAAUAUCUUAAGAUAGAUUCAAGAGCUCUCUCCCAGAGGUAUCUGAAGGCUGACCAGGACCGAGACUGGAUGUGCGGUCACAACCUGGUGGCCAUGGAGUGGAGAUGGUACGUUGACAAGGCUCAUUUGGAUCAGCUGUGUUUAAGAAAUGCAGACAUUUUAUAUAAAAUCACGAGUUUCCUGCUUUUCUUUUGAAACUCAGAAGCACUGGCACCAGAAGGCUGGUGCUGAGGAGUGACCAUUGCUCUGUCAAAGUUUGGGCAUACCUUCUUCACUGAGCCACAGACCCCACCAUGCCCUGUUGCCUGGGCUCCAUGGCGCGGAGUCUGCCCCGCCUGCUUUGGAGCAAAGGGAUGGAGCUGUGAUAUUCAGGCAUGGCGGGCGGCGGGGCAAUAUGAAGGCUCACCCUGAGCCAGGGGCCGUCCUGAGGUCUCAGCUCAGAACCGGGCAUCCGAGCAACGUGAAAACCCACCUUCUACCGGGCAGGGCCAAGGCAGGCAGAGAGCCGAGGGCUCCUCCUCUGCAGCUGAGCUCCUGCUGCCCGGCCUCCUCCCCCCAGCCGUGUGGACAGCGGCGGGUCCUGCCGGGGUCCCAUCCCUUCCCUCUGAGGUUCCCAGGCACAGUUCUCCUGGCUGACGUGCUAACCACAUCACAUAGACUUCCCGCGACGUCCAGCCGGUGUCAGCGCUGGGCGUGCUCGGGGAGUCUCCUUCCAGCCCACCCCCAGGCCCUCAGCGCAGGGACGACGCACUCCUUUGCACGGAUGGGUAAACAGACACUCCAAGGAGUCAGGUGACUGGUUAACACAUAACAGAAACCUGGAUCCAGGACUUCUGAGCCCAAGAUUGGCCGGGGUUAGGGGUGUGGCUUCCCACCCCCAGAAGGACAAGCCGUGUGCAGAACCCAGGGCUACUAAAGACGUGAUGCGAUGGCCUUGACCCCAGCAGCCAGUCAAGGGGGCCAAAGAGACAAGCCCACCCCCCAGCACUCCUGAGCCCGGGGGCAGCACAGCACAGUGGCCCGUGAGUGAAGAGGGGGCCCAGGCCAGGACGGUCGCGGGCGGUGAGGCUUCUUCCUUCCAACGUUUUUCUUCACCACGCAACGUUGGGAAGACACAUCUGUAGAGAGUAGCCCAGAAGUGGCAGUUUCCAAAUUCUGGAUGCCCCUCAGCUGGCUGCUGAACCCCCUUUCCUGAGCUCCCCCUUCACUGAAGCACUGCUGCUGACACGAAGGCACAGCCUCGACGGAGGGCUCUGACCGAUGCUGGGGCGCUUCUGCGGCCGCCCCGAGGACGGCCCCCUCUGUCCCGUCUCCACGGCCUCCUUCCCGUGCUGUGCCGCCCUCGGGAGAAACUGACCUCUCACCAUCACCUGCCCGACAGGGAAGUGGGAGGGCCGAGCGUCUGUCACGGAGCUCACGUGGGCUCCAAGCGAAAGCCCUGCCACUGUCUGCAGUCGGAGCUGGGCCAGCCUCCCUCCACCACUUCCCCGGCUGCCUCUUGCAGUCGCCGUCUCCAACGCAAAAUAAGACAAGAAAACCUCUGUGAUGCAGCAGGCUGACUGCACCAGCUUCCGAGUCCUCCCAGUGAGAACAGAGUCCUUCAUGGCCCUUGCUGGCCUCUGGGGUCCUCCUCCCUCCCCUUCCCACCUGCACCUGCACCUGCAGUUUCCUUCCACAGGCCUGCACCCUCACCACAGGGCCUUUGCACAUGCUGUUCACUCCUGAGCCAGCAGCAGCCCUCUCCGUUACUACACUCGGCCCCUCUGCCACAAAUGCCCAGCACCCUGGCCCCCACAGCUCCGAACUCAGCUCUAGGGGCUCACACCUCUUCCAGGAAGCCCUUUCUGACUUCCCCCCUCCUGGGCUCCUGUGCCUUCCCUGUGCGCAGCUCCAUCUCCUAGUAGAGGGGAGCCCCUGAAGGCAAAGAAUGGGGCUCUGGUGCCCAGGGUCUUCUCAGCACAUGGGUGCCUAAAUCCUGAAUCCCCUGCCAGCAGAGACCGCACCACAGGGCCACAGAAGAGCAAACAGGCCUGUCUGCUAAUCCAGAAACAUCUGCAGAAAUGCAUCCGCCAUCACUUACAAGCCUCCCACGCCCCUCCCAAGCCUGAGCUGGGUACCAAGUGGGACCUGCAUUUGGGAGGAAUCCUGGAGAAGGAGUCGUUUGCCUUGGACUCCGGGUGGCAGUGGAGUCCAGCGAUUAAAGGCACGGGCUCUGGAA